rnacentral:rRNA from 1 species
GACGAACGCUGGCGGCGUGCCUAAUACAUGCAAGUCGAGCGGACGGAUGGGAGCUUGCUCCCAGACCGUCAGCGGCGGACGGGUGAGUAACACGUGGGCAACCUGCCUGUAAGACUGGGAUAACUCCGGGAAACCGGGGCUAAUACCGGAUAACUCUUUCCCUCACAUGAGGGAAAGCUGAAAGAUGGCAUCUCGCUAUCACUUACAGAUGGGCCCGCGGCGCAUUAGCUAGUUGGUGAGGUAAUGGCUCACCAAGGCGACGAUGCGUAGCCGACCUGAGAGGGUGAUCGGCCACACUGGAACUGAGACACGGCCCAGACUCCUACGGGAGGCAGCAGUAGGGAAUCUUGCGCAAAGGACGAAAGUCUGACGGAGCAACGCCGCGUGAGUGAUGAAGGUUUUCGGAUCGUAAAACUCUGUUGUCAGGGAAGAACAAGUACCGGAGUAACUGCCGGUACCUUGACGUUACCUGACCAGAAAGCCACGGCUAACUACGUG